GCGCAUGCGUGUCACUGGCGUUAGCAGCGGACCCGGCUGGCAGUUCCUUCCUCGGAAGGAGAGAUUCUUUUGCCAUGGAGUCCUACGAUGUGAUCGCCAACCAGCCUGUCGUGAUCGACAACGGAUCCGGUGUGAUUAAAGCUGGUUUUGCUGGUGAUCAGAUUCCCAAAUACUGCUUUCCAAACUAUGUGGGCAGACCCAAACACGUUCGUGUCAUGGCCGGAGCCCUUGAAGGUGACAUCUUCAUUGGCCCCAAAGCCGAGGAACACCGAGGUCUGCUCUCCAUCCGCUACCCCAUGGAGCAUGGCAUUGUCAAGGACUGGAACGACAUGGAGCGCAUCUGGCAGUAUGUCUAUUCCAAGGACCAGCUGCAGACUUUCUCAGAGGAGCAUCCUGUGCUCCUGACGGAGGCGCCUUUAAACCCGCGGAAAAACCGUGAACGAGCAGCUGAAGUUUUCUUCGAGACCUUCAACGUGCCAGCCCUUUUCAUCUCCAUGCAAGCUGUGCUCAGCCUUUAUGCCACAGGCAGGACCACAGGCGUGGUGCUGGAUUCUGGGGAUGGUGUCACGCAUGCCGUGCCCAUUUAUGAGGGCUUUGCCAUGCCCCACUCAAUCAUGCGCAUCGACAUCGCUGGCCGAGAUGUGUCUCGCUUCCUUCGCCUCUACCUGCGGAAGGAGGGCUAUGAUUUCCACUCAUCAUCUGAGUUUGAGAUUGUCAAGGCCAUAAAAGAAAGAGCCUGCUACCUGUCCAUAAACCCACAGAAGGAUGAGACUCUAGAGACAGAGAAGGCUCAGUACUACCUGCCCGACGGCAGCACCAUUGAGAUUGGUCCUUCCCGAUUCCGGGCACCUGAGUUGCUGUUCAGGCCAGACCUGAUCGGAGAGGAGAGUGAGGGCAUCCACGAGGUGCUGGUGUUUGCCAUCCAGAAGUCAGAUAUGGACCUGCGGCGCACGCUUUUCUCGAACAUUGUCCUCUCAGGAGGCUCCACCCUGUUCAAAGGCUUCGGUGACAGGCUACUGAGUGAAGUGAAGAAACUGGCUCCAAAAGACGUGAAGAUCAGGAUAUCCGCACCUCAGGAGAGGCUGUAUUCCACGUGGAUUGGGGGCUCCAUCCUCGCCUCCCUGGACACCUUUAAGAAGAUGUGGGUCUCCAAGAAGGAAUAUGAGGAAGACGGUGCCCGAUCUAUCCACAGGAAAACCUUCUAAUGUUGGGACAUCAUCUUCACCUCUCUCUGAAGUUAACUCCACUUUAAAACUCGCUUUCUUGAGUCGGAGUGUUUGCGAGGAACUGCGUGUGUGUGUGUGUGUGUACACGAAUGUGUGCACAUAUGCGAGAGCCGUGUGGCCCAGGGAUCCCAGGGCCCAGAAAGAACGAUGAACUACCCAUGAUGGCAACGGCCUGAGGCCUAGGGUUGACCACUAACUGGCCCCUGACAGAAAAGAAUGCUGGCAGAGAACUCCACUCCUUCGUCAGCUGGGCCUUUGUCUGGCUGUGUGGGACUAUGUUUACUACCAUAGGGAGACAGAGAGGGUAAAUCCCGGGAGACCUUGCUGCUGCCCACCCUAGGCCCCAUCCCACCCCCAGGGUGCCCUGAGGCCCACUGCCUCCCUUGCUCGUCCUUCUGCUCUCGAUGCCAGUUGAUCAUGGACUGAGGACUGGGGCCGAAGUUGAGUUCUGUCUGGUUUUGUUGCAAUUUGGGUUUGGGAGGCUGGGAAAGCACUCCAGGAGCUAAUACUGAGACUUUAGGUCAGGAGACAGCAGGGGGCCCUCAACCUCACCUGGGGACCAGGACCACACUGGGCAUUUGAAGAGGCAGGAGUAGUGCUAUACUUCUGAUUGGUGGCAGAGUGAAUGCUCCAACCCCCAGCCCCUGUCCAGGGGGUCUCGGGAGAAUUUCAGGAGCCUGUUGGCCCCAGGCCCUGUUACUUGCUUUUCAUCCAUCCUUGGGCAAUGCCAUCUUCAAACAGUUUUAUUUAUUGACGUGUUUGUUCAGUAUGGGACUGGAGAGGGAGCCCAUAGCCUCCUGCCCACCAGUCACCCUGUUCACACUAAUGUUUACAGCACCUCAGUUUAGCAUAGCGUCCAGGGCCCCGCCACCCCCUGCUAAUAGUGAACUAACAGUAUCCACAGGCCUCAGGCCUAUUUAGGAUCAGAGGCUACAUUCAAAGUCACUACCACCGGCCUCUUUCUUUCUUCCUCUUCCAUUUGCUCACUGCCCUGGAAUCAACAGGCUGGUUGCCAGUUGGAUUUUUUGCAAAAGGAGGUAGAAUCACUCUUUGGCAGAGGCCUCCAGCAAAGAAGGGGUAUAGGGGAUCCAGCGCCCUUAGGACUGGAGAAAGAGCCACCAUUAACCAGGUUGCCUUUUCCCACUCUAGCUGCCCCAUGGGGGGCUAGGUUGUAGAGGUGACAAGGCCCCAACUGGGCUGAUUUGUGCCAUUCUUAACUUUGGACUUGUCUGGUAAAGGAGGGAGGGGGCGAGACCAGAGUGCCAGGAGCUGACAGGCUCAUCUCCCCUGAUGCAGAAGGGCCAGGUCCCUACCCUGGACUGGGCUGGCCUUGCAGUGUCCAAAGGCUCUUUAACCCAGAUGGUGCAAAGCUGGGGCUAGCGGAUCUUCACCGGCACCCUCACCUGUGACACCAAGACCCGCCCCAAUCCCAGAUUCCAGGCAGCAUUCUCCCCCAUGCCGUCCAACGACCAAAGGCCCUGCCAGGUAUGGGCCACAGCAGCAGGUGUGUGUGAAAGCGAUGUGGCGACCCACGGACUGCAGUGUGCUUAACCAGCUCACCUCCCUUCUCCUAGCCCAAGCCUGUCCCUUGCACAAACCACGUUGCCUGGUGGGGCCCAGUGUACUUAAAUAAAGUCGUUCCAAUAGAUGCAUCA